rnacentral:rRNA from 1 species
ACGGAGGGUGCAAGCGCUAUUCGGAAUCACUGGGCGUAAAGCGCACGUAGGCGGCUUGGUAAGUCAGACGUGAAAUCCCUCAGCUUAACUCCGGAACUGCAUUUGAUACUGCCAGGCUUGAGUGUCGGAGAGGGAAGCGGAAUUCCAGGUGUAGGGGUGAAAUCCGUAGAUAUCUGGAGGAACACCAGUGGCGAAGGCGGCUACCUGGACGACAACUGACGCUGAGGUGCGAAAGCGUGGGUAGCAAACAG